UUGCCUUUUGUCUCUGGCACGUUCUUCACAAUGAACAGAAUAGCCAGGGCUUGCCUUUUGUCUCUGGUGUAUUUGGCUGCAAUCGAUAAGUUUGAUGCCAUGUUAUCCAAAAGCAACACUUAUGCUCUAGAAGGUUCGACGCUGCUCUGUUUUUUUAGCCUGAAUUUCCCUACCAAGUUUUAUCAUGAAUACUUCAUUUCCUACAUCAGGUCCUUGAUGUUCGUUAUGUAUGGUUACCAGUGAGUAAAGUUUGACAGGUGUUAUCACCGAGAGAGGGUAAGUUGGCAUGGGAAGAAGAAGAACAUGAAGAAUAUGAAGAAGAAUAAGAAUAUGAAGAAUGUGAAGAAGAAGAAGAAGAA
rnacentral:lncRNA from 1 species